UAAGUUCAAAUUUGUUGCCAGCAUUCGAACC
rnacentral:piRNA from 1 species